AGAGUUUGAUCCUGGCUCAGGACGAACGCUGGCGGCGUGCUUAACACAUGCAAGUCGAACGAUGAAGCCUUCGGGUGGAUUAGUGGCGAACGGGUGAGUAACACGUGGGCAACCUGCCCUCCACUCUGGGAUAACUCCGGGAAACCGGGGCUAAUACUGGAUACGACCACUGGCCGCAUGGCUGGUGGUGGAAAGUUUUU
rnacentral:rRNA from 1 species